UGGGGAAUCUUGCGCAAUGGGCGAAAGCCUGACGCAGCGACGCCGCGUGAGGGAGGAAGGCCUUCGGGUUGUAAACCUCUUUCAGGAGGGACGAAGCUACUCGGGUGAAUAGCCCAGAGGGUGACGGUACUUCCAGAAGAAGCCCCGGCUAACUACGUGCCAGCAGCCGCGGUAAUACGUAGGGGGCAAGCGUUGUCCGGAUUUACUGGGCGUAAAGCGCGUGUAGGCGGCCACGCAGGUCCGUUGUGAAAACUGGAGGCUCAACUUCCAGACGUCGACGGAAACCGUGUGGCUAGAGUCCGGAAGAGGAGAGUGGAAUUCCUGGUGUAGCGGUGAAAUGCGCAGAUAUCAGGAAGAACACCAAUGGCGAAGGCAGCUCUCUGGGACGGUACUGACGCUGAGACGCGAAAGCGUGGGGAGCGAACAAGAUUAGAUACCCUGGUAGUCCACGCCGUAAACGAUGGGUGCUAGGUGUGGGAGGUGUCGACUCCUUCCGUGCCGUAGCUAACG
rnacentral:rRNA from 1 species